GCACUGCUGAGACUAUGACACUUGGUUUCUUUGAGUUUGACUAAAUAUUUUACAUGAGUGUAAUUAUACAGCUUUCCUUUUUGACUGUCUUAUUUUACUUAACAGAAUGUUUUGAAUAUUUGUCCUUAUUGUAGUACUUUUCAAGAUUUCCUUAUUUUUAAGGCUGAAUGCUAUCCCAGUGAUUGUACGUGCCCUGUUUGCUGAAUCUACUCAUCCUUAAGGGUAUGUAUUCAUUUCGUACCACCGUAGUGGAAGAGAGACUAUCCCUAUCAAUACACCUGGUAACAUUCCCAACAGUAAGUCGUGAGAUUCUGCUUGAAAUCACCUCUCAGACAAAUAAAAAACAGUCCUGGGAAAUGUACGACACUCAUUCUGCUAAAGAAAUAGGCAUCAUAGCUGGGGAACAGGGAUUCAAAAGACCCAGGCUGUUCCCUACAUAUGUUUCCUCCUCAGACAUCAGUUAAUCAGUCAAUCAAGUCAAGUGAGAGUGGAGGCCAUGUAUUCCCUCUUAUUCUUGGGCACUCUCCUCCAAGGAGGAAAAGGCCAGGAGGUCCUGUUAGAGGAUGCACUCUGAGAGCCCGGGCUCCCUAAGGUAUGAGAGUUCUAACCAGCAGGUGUAGACUUUUCAGGAGUGAGGAAUGAGGCAGGCAUUCCAAACCUGGAGCUUCAUCACCUUUUGUUUCAUCUCAAGACAAUUCUGAGGGGCUGUUUUGGAGCGUGUCUGGAAGGUGAACGUUGAAGAAGAGUGUGGGCUUUGAUGUGACUCAGAUGAGAUC
ensembl:lncRNA novel transcript